UACGUAGGGUGCGAGCGUUGUCCGGAAUUAUUGGGCGUAAAGGGCUCGUAGGCGGUCUGUCGCGUCGGGAGUGAAAACUCGAGGGCUUAACCCUGAGCCUGCUUCCGAUACGGGCAGACUAGAGGUAUGCAGGGGAGAACGGAAUUCCUGGUGUAGCGGUGGAAUGCGCAGAUAUCAGGAGGAACACCGGUGGCGAAGGCGAGUCCCUGGACGACUCCUGACACUGAGGCACGAAAGCUAGGGGAGCAAACAGG
rnacentral:rRNA from 1 species